rnacentral:lncRNA from 12 species
UAAUUUGAAAUUUGUUUGCCGAGAGAAAGGAUUAGGAGGAAGGCAAAACAGCCUUAAGGGCCAAGGAAUUCAGAGACCCUCAACUCACUGACUCCAACAUAAACCACUUCUCUGCCCACAUUAGUGGUGAUCUCCAAAUCAUUCCAGAGCUCCUGCCGUGGGGUCUGGCACCUGGGUGUGGUGCCAGAGGCAGAUGACAAAGGGC